rnacentral:rRNA from 1 species
GUGUCAGCCGCCGCGGUAAUACGUAGGGUGCGAGCGUUAUCCGGAAUUAUUGGGCGUAAAGAGCUCGUAGGCGGUUUGUCGCGUCUGUCGUGAAAGUCCGGGGCUUAACCCCGGAUCUGCGGUGGGUACGGGCAGACUAGAGUGCAGUAGGGGAGACUGGAAUUCCUGGUGUAGCGGUGGAAUGCGCAGAUAUCAGGAGGAACACCGAUGGCGAAGGCAGGUCUCUGGGCUGUAACUGACGCUGAGGAGCGAAAGCAUGGGGAGCGAACAGGAUUAGAUACCCUGGUAGUCCAUGCCGUAAACGUUGGGCACUAGGUGUGGGGACCAUUCCACGGUUUCCGCGCCGCAGCUAACGCAUUAAGUGCCCCGCCUGGGGAGUACGGCCGCAAGGCUAAA